GAUGAACGCUAGCUACAGGCUUAACACAUGCAAGUCGAGGGACCGGCGCAUGGGUGAGUAACGCGUAUCCAACCUGCCCAUAAGUAGGGUAUAACCCGCAGAAAUGCGGACCAAUAUCCUAUGCUUAUGGCUGGGGAUGCGUCCGAUUAGCUUGUUGGUGAGGUAACGGCUCACCAAGGCUUCGAUCGGUGGGGGUUCGGAGAGCAAGGCACCCCAGAGCGGAGCUGAGCAACGGUCCUAACUCGGAGGCGAGGCAGCAGUGAAGAAUAUUGGUCAAUGGGCGAGAGCCUGAACCAGCCAAGUAGCGGGCAGGAUGACGGACUAUGGGUUGUAAACUGCUUUGAUGCAGGGAUAGGUACCGGAUGAAUAAGGACCGGCUAAUUCCGUGCCAGCAGCCGCGGUAAUAC
rnacentral:rRNA from 1 species